AUGAAGAACGUAGUGAAAUGCGAUAAGUAAUGUGAAUUGCAGAAUUCAGUGAAUCAUCGAAUCUUUGAACGCACAUUGCGCCCUCUGGUAUUCCGGGGGGCAUGCCUGUUCGAGCGUCAUUACAACCCUCAAGCUUUGCUUGGUAUUGGACAUUGCCAGUUUCUGGCAGGUCUUAAAAUCAGUGGCGGUGCCAUUUGGCUUCAAGCGUAGUAAUUCUUCUCGCUUUGGAGAUCCAGGUGGUUACUUGCCAAUAACCCCCAAUUUUUUCAGGUUGACCUCGGAUCAGGUAGGGAUACCCGCUGAACUUAAGCAUAUCAAUAAGCGGAGGA
rnacentral:misc_RNA from 1 species